rnacentral:rRNA from 1 species
UGAUCCUGGCUCAGAUUGAACGCUGGCGGCAGGCCUAACACAUGCAAGUCGAACGGUAACAGAAAGUGCUUGCACUUUGCUGACGAGUGGCGGACGGGUGAGUAAUGCUUAGGAACUUGCCUUUUGGUGGGGGAUAACAGUUGGAAACGACUGCUAAUACCGCAUAAUGUCUUUGGACCAAAGGGGGCUUCGGCUCUCACCAAGAGAGAGGCCUAAGUGAGAUUAGUUAGUUGGUGGGGUAAAGGCUUACCAAGACGACGAUCUCUAGCUGUUCUGAGAGGAAGAUCAGCCACACUGGGACUGAGACACGGCCCAGACUCCUACGGGAGGCAGCAGUGGGGAAUAUUGCACAAUGGGGGGAACCCUGAUGCAGCCAUGCCGCGUGUGUGAAGAAGGCCUUCGGGUUGUAAAGCACUUUCAGUUGUGAGGAAAGGUUGGUAGUUAAUACCUGCCAGCUGUGACGUUAACAACAGAAGAAGCACCGGCUAACUCCGUGCCAGCAGCCACGGUAAUACGGAGGGUGCGAGCGUUAAUCGGAAUUACUGGGCGUAAAGCGCACGCAGGCGGUUUGUUAAGCGAGAUGUGAAAGCCCCGGGCUCAACCUGGGAGGGUCAUUUCGAACUGGCAGACUAGAGUUUUGGAGAGGGGAGUGGAAUUCCAGGUGUAGCGGUGAAAUGCGUAGAUAUCUGGAGGAACAUCAGUGGCGAAGGCGACUCCCUGGUUAAAGACUGACGCUCAUGUGCGAAAGUGUGGGUAGCGAACAGGAUUAGAUACCCUGGUAGU